GGAGGGUUGGCCGAGUGGCUUAAGGCACCCGCCUGAAAAGCGGGCAUACCGGAAACGGUAUCGCGGGUUCGAAUCCCGCCCCCUAUUC
rnacentral:tRNA from 1 species